UACGUAGGGUGCGAGCGUUGUCCGGAAUUACUGGGCGUAAAGAGUUCGUAGGCGGUUUGUCGCGUCGUUCGUGAAAACUUGGGGCUUAACUCCAAGCGUGCGGGCGAUACGGGCAGACUUGAGUACUACAGGGGAGACUGGAAUUCCUGGUGUAGCGGUGAAAUGCGCAGAUAUCAGGAGGAACACCGGUGGCGAAGGCAGGUCUCUGGGCAUUAACUGACGCUGAGGAGCGAAAGCAUGGGGAGCGAACAGG
rnacentral:rRNA from 1 species